rnacentral:misc_RNA from 1 species
UGUUUCCCCCUUUCUUAAUAAGUAAUAAUUGUGCCCCCCAAUUAUUGGGAGGGAAAGCCAAUGGAUUAGGGGAGAAACUUAAAUUAGUGGAAACCUUGCUAUUCAUUCAUGUGCCUCUCCUGUUCAGCUUAUUAGGCAUUUGCCAAAACUUUAACCCUUUUCUAAAUACAUGGAGGGGUAGGCAAAUUUUCAGUGUCUGAAGUUUAAAAUGAUUGUGG